ensembl:snRNA Gm22985 predicted gene, 22985
AGCUUUGCGCAGUGGCAGUAUCGUAACCAAUGAGUUUUAUCCAAGGCGUGAUUAUUGCUAAUUGAAAACUUAAGACCUCUGAAUGAAAGCUUUGCCACUCCUUAUAUAUAAUAGGC